rnacentral:lncRNA from 1 species
UCUUUAUAUGACUGAAGUGGGUGAGCAGCACCAAAUGAGGCCAUCGCGGUCGCUGAGCGGAGGGAGUGUUUAUAGCCUAACUUUGGCGAGGCAACAAGCCCCCAGGAGUGCCUUCAUUUCAGCACCCCCGGCCCUCCCCAAAGCCAGCUCGUUCUAUUUGGAGACUGUUGCUGCCUUACCAGCCCCAAGGUGAAGCCUACAUGGUGAGAAACUGAGGCCUCCAGCCAGCAGCCAGGUUAAUGGGUUUGAAAGCAAAUCCUCCAGCCCAAUCCAGCCUUCAGAUGACUGCAGCCCUAGGUGACAAUGUGACAGAGGACUCAGGAGGAACCCUAAGCCAGAACCACCCUCUCAUCCAUGCUUAGACUCCUGAUCCUUGGAACAUAUUUAUUCAGAGCUGUACAUGAAGAGAAGUCCCACAGGGACCCUGGGAUCAGAAGAACUCUGGGAAAUGCCUGGCCCAGCCAGUGCUGUUCUAAAGAUCCUCAUCCUCAUGGAGAUAACCAUUUUUAAGGAAGAAAAGAGGAUCUGGACCCUACCCAUCUCAGUCUCCAUCAGAUCUUAUGGAUGCUCCAGGAAUUGGCCAUGAUUCUCCUCUUUUCUACCAUCUUGUAUGUUGGGCUUUGUAGAGGAUAGAUGUUUUCUAGAAGAAUGGCAGAUAAGGCAAGGUCUGCAGCUUGCCAUUGAUAGUGUCUUUAUCAACAGAUCUGUGAGGAAUUGUGCAGCUGAGAGGGGAGAAGAGAAAUCAGAGAGUGGAUGGACUGCCACAGUUCAACAUAUACUGGUGCUUUCAAUAUAGAAUCCACAAGGCAACCUGCAUGCUGGGCUCUGUGCUAGGCACUAGGGGUAUAUCUAUGAGAUGCCACCCCAGCUCCCACAGUCUUACAAUCUAAUGGGGAAGAGAGAUAUGUCAAUAGACAAACGCAGCAGAUGGCAAGUGCUGGGAUAUGAAACAGUAAGCAGAAGCCACAGUGUUCUCUGGGACUUCUGAGCUGAGUCCCAAAGUAAUUAGAUUAAUCCGUCAUGGGAGGUGGAGUGGGUAGGGGGAGCUCCUGGAAGCAUGAUCAAAAGUGGAGAGCUAAGGUGAGGGAGAAGAAAGAAAUGAGAUUCAGCAAAGAGGAGGAGAGCAAUGAAGGGCCAUGUAUGACCAGGCGAAGGCAAAUUGUUCGGACCAAACAUGACAGUAGGGUGGGUUUUUGAGGGGUAUCCACUGCACUUACAGAGGCAAGAUUCUCUAUGGUGACCUUUCAGUGAGGGUGGGCAAAUACACUACUUUUUGAGUCAGCCAUUUUUCACUACUGAGCACCUCUGGCCUUAGCAAGUUCUGAGCAUGAAUACUUUCUUCUGUUUCUAAGCCAUUCAACAAAUAUCAAAGUGCUUUCCCAUGUAUUGGUCAUCUUAGGCAAACUGGGUGGACAUGUAGAGCAAGACGUAAUGAGGUAAGCACUCACUAGAGCUAGGUCAUCUUAGAAAAGUCACUUAGCUUCACUGAGCCUCAGUCUUCCUAUCUGUGAAAUGGGGAUAAUGACCCUUAUGUCACCUGGUGGGCAAGGUCUAAAUAAAAUCAUUGUAGUUAGAUCCAUAGUAGGUUCUUUCUGACCUACCACUGUGCACCUCACGCCGUUGCUAUUCCAGUGGGAUAUAUCCAGUGGGGUUACGGGUAUGACAUUUCGGAACCCCACCAUCACUUGUAUCAGCAGGUCUGUCCUAGGUUCCCCAACUAAGCUUCCUGGAUGAGGCACCUAGUGGCGUCCCCUAGUUUGAGUGUGGGGGGUUUGGUAAACUAGUCCUUAUGUAUGCUUGUCAGAUGGAGGGUACUGUCUUUAAGAUGGGCUCAUAGCUGAAUCUGGAAGGUAAGUGCUCCAGGCCAGUAUUGUUUUCUGCAGGAUUCAAAGUUCCCUUGCUAUUUCUGCUGACUUUGCUUCCCCUCUCGUGUUCUAUAUCCCAAACCUAUUAUCUUCACCAGCGUUAAUUUGCCUCCACAACUCUGUUUUUGCAUUUUGAAAUGGAAUUUCCCUUAACCUAUAUUCCUCUGGUUCCCAAACUCCACCUGCUUCAGUUUUUUUUUCAAUAUCAUCUACAUUUCCUUCACUAGAUUAUAGCCUUAGUCAUUUGUACCCUUAGAAUGAAUAUUUUUUUCUGUCAUAUCUUUGUUUGAACCUUUUCACAUUUGACUUCAGACAUUACCCAUCUCCUUCAUCUGACCACUUUCUUCACUUUUCUCAUCUUUCCAUUUUGGUUGUAUGUCUACUGAGCAAGGGGCUCUGUGCAGAGCAUUCAAAGAUGACUGAGAUGUAGUCUUGUGGGUAGAGAGAGACAAUUAGAAUGCACCGUGGAGAGUGUUAGGUUGAGGGAAGCGGAGAUUACAGGAGUCCAAAUGUCUUAUCCGAGGAUAUGGGAUAGGCUUGAGAGAAGAUGCUGAGCUCAUGUAGGUGAGGUAUUGUCCUACGUGAAGGAAAAGAGGCAGGAGAUGGCAGCUUGGAGGCUAUAUUACUUUCUCUGGGGCUGCCAUACCAAAGUACCACAAACUGGGUGGCUUAAAACAUCAAAAAUGUAUUUUCUCACAGUUCUAGAAGGUAGAAGCCCAAAAUCAAGAUGUUGGCCCUACAGCUGUGCUCCUUCUGAAGGCUUUGGGGUGAAUGUGUUUAAUGCCCUUUUCUUAGCUUCUGCCCUUUUCUUUUCUGGCCUUCACAGAAGGCCAAAGAGCAAUCCUUGGCCUUCCUUGGCUUGUGGAUGCAUCGUUUCAGUCUCUGCCUCUGUUUUCACAUGGCCCUCUUCCCUGUGUAUCUGUCUCUACGCUGCUUCUCAUCUUAUAAGGACACAAGUCAGAUUGGAAUAAAGCCUAUUCUAAUUCAGUAUAAUCACAUCUUAACUUGAUUAUGUAUGCAAAGACCAUAUUUCCAAAUAAGGUCACAUUUUCAGGUCCUCGGGGUUAGAGCUUUCACAUGUCUUUUUGGGGGACAUAGUUCAACUCAUAAUAGAAACCUCGCAGAUAAAUCAUUUUGGCCGGUGCACAGAGUUAAGUGGUGGAUUAUCAAGAAUAUGGAAUUUUAGAAUUUUAGCUUCUUGGUUGAUUUUUGGGAAUUAACAUACAGGAGAGCAGGUUUAGAAGUAACAAUAACACUUUGAGAGGCCGAGGUGGGCAGAUCAUGAGGUCAGGAGAUCGAGACCAUCCUGGCUAACAUGGUGAAACCCCGUCUCCACUAAAAAUACAAAAAUUAGCCGGGCAUGGUGGCAGGUGCCUGUAGUCCCAGCUACUCAGAAGGCUGAGGCAGCAGAAUGGCAUGAACCCGGGAGGCGGAGGUUGCAGUGAGCCGAGAUCGUGCCACUGCACUCCAGCUGGGGAGACAGAGUGAGACUCUGUCUCAUAAAAAAAAGAAGUGACAAUAACAAUAACAGAGGCUGGUCUUCUGGGAAUGAUGCGAUACUCUUCAGCCAGCCUUUCUGUUUUGAGCGAAGCCCCAACCUGGAGUUCAAAGAGAGUGAGGGCGCUUCCUGUCUUCUUGUCUUUCUCCUCUCUCCUGCUACUUGUUAUGAAAUUCAGAACAAUUAGAGAUUUUCUGUCUCAUCCCUGGAAUGGUGUUUCUCCUGCUGGCCCUAUCAGGCUGGUGUGUUGAUGUUAUCGGGGAGAGGCUGUAGUUACUAGGAUGAAGAAGGCAAGAGAGAAAUGGAAUUCACGCAGAUCAAACAUGUGUAAUCAGAAGACAUUACUGAGGCUUGAUGAUGCUGUUCAGGGUGUAUUUCCCUUGAAACGCUUCUUAAAAGACAGCAGCUUAAACAAAUGGGCAAGAUGAGAUUCACAGAGGUAACAUUUCAGAGAGAAUGUAGGUACAGCUAAGCAGAGCUAAGCAGUGACAGAAGGAGAAAGUGUGUCUGAAGAAAAAUCUUCAUUACAGAUUUGAAAGAAAAAAAACCCAUCAAAUCCCUCUGCCUUGUGGGUCUCACAGGAGGCAAACUUUCUUUACAAACUGUGUGUUUGUGUUUUGAGUGACUAAGAGUUCAGGGACAAGUUCAAACACACCUAAGUUCAAUUUAAAAGUAAAUGAGAUGACAUUGGAGGAAAUUUAUAAUAAAAUGUCACUCUUUACCUAACACCAUUUUCUCUGGAAUUCAAAAUAUCCAUUGUUUAAAAGUGACACAGUAACUACCAUCUAGUUUGCUGAAUGACCUUCUUUAUAGCGUCAUGGUAUUAGAAAUGGCUUCAGAAGGAAUCACUCAACUGCAUUUAUCUGGCAGGAGAAAAAUGCAGGUAGUAUUUAUUUUGGGGUGUGGUAGGGGAUGUCCCCUAGCAAGGAUCCUAGAAGUCAGUGUCAGGUAUGAGAACAAGAAACAUUCAUUUAUUGCAUGCAUACUCAUUGAGUCCCUACUAUGUAUUGGUAUUAUGUGGCAGUAUGAAUAUUCUCAUUUGUUAAAUAAAGAUACUUGAGUCUGCUUUCAGUGUUGUGGGUUUUGUUAUUAAGAGUAAUACAGUCAUGUGUUGCUUGAUCAUGGGGACUUGUUCUGAGAAAUGUGUUGUCAAGCAAUUCUGUCUUUGUGGGAACCUCGUAGAGAGUAGGGUACUUACAAAAACCUAGAUGGGAUAGCUUAAUACGCACCUAGGCUGUAGGGUAAAGCCCAUUGCUCCCAGGCUACAAACCUGUAGAGCAUGUUACUGACUGAAUACUGUAGGCAGUUGUAACAAAUCACUAGGCAACAGAAACUUUGCAGCUCUGUUAUUAUCUUAUGGCACCACUGUUGUGUAUGCAGUCUGUUGACCAAAA